AACAUGAUUCUGGUCUUCAUGCUUUAAUGCUUAAUUAUGACUUUAAGAAGAUGGCAAGCUAUGUUCUUAUCAUAAUUAUCUAUAAACACCAACACAAAUAAUGCAUGUUUUCACAGAAGGGCCAGAGGUCCAUGUCCAUGUAAGCAGCCCACCUUCAAGAAAGGGUCAAGAGAAAAUCUGAAGUGCUGGAGCCUUUAUCAAUAUAUAAACCAUGAGUUCCCACUUCCAGACAGCCAUCACUCACAGGAGACACCCAACA
rnacentral:lncRNA from 1 species